rnacentral:tRNA from 1 species
ACCUAUCUGGCUCAGUCGGUAGAGCAUGAGACUGUUGGUCUCAGGGUUGCGAGUUUGAACCCCAUGUUGGAUG